rnacentral:rRNA from 1 species
UACGUAGGGGGCAAGCGUUGUCCGGAUUUAUUGGGCGUAAAGAGCGUGUAGGCGGCUUCACAGGUCCGCUGUGAAAACUCGAGGCUCAACCUCGAGCUGUCGGUGGAAACCGUGUGGCUAGAGUCCGGAAGAGGAGAGUGGAAUUCCCGGUGUAGCGGUGAAAUGCGCAGAUAUCGGGAAGAACACCCGUGGCGAAGGCGGCUCUCUGGGACGGUACUGACGCUGAGGUGCGAAAGCGUGUGGAGCAAACAGG